GUGUGUGCGUGUGUGUGUGUGCGCGUACGUGCGUGUGUGUGUGUGUGUGUGUGUGUGUGUGCAUAUGUGUACCUGCAUGCAUACACAUUCUUAAUUGUGUGUGAACUGUCAAGAUAUCUGGUAACAGACUUUGCUGUAAACUGCCAACACCAGUCUUCUCUUGCUGGCUGGAGAGUCUCUGUGCCUAACCUAAGUUGUAUCAUUCUUAUUUACUUGUUCCUUUUAGGUCCUCUGUGGAGAGCAGAAACAACUCCUAUUCUCCACUGGACAAUCAUCAGAGCACUCGACAAAAGUAUUCACACCACAGGCAAUGUCAUAGCAACCCACCAGGGGACUUAUGUAAGAUGCCGAACCAAAGGAUUUUAAGUUGAUGAAGAGAAAAGACAGCAAGGACUUUCUCAGAAGAGGAAAAUCUCACCUUCCUUACAGGCUCUUCUGUCCCAGUUUGUCAGACUGGCCUCAUGGUAACAAUUUACCCUUAGGUUUGAAACUUUUGUAUCUACUGCUAUGAUGAAGAUUUCCUGAGGUCAAGGACGUUUUCUCACUCAUUUUACCAUCCAGCACACGGAGGAGCAUUCUGUUAGAUGGGUGUAUGAUGAACAUACAUUCUAUAUUUUAAAUACAGCCUCUCUGUUUCCCAGGUGCCUUUGUCCUCAGCCCCUGAGUUCCAGGACCAUAAACAUGUUUCAUUCAUUGCUUCUGACUUUAUUUACUAAAAAAAAGAAUCUGUGGAAGAAAUUAUUGGACAUGAUUGUCUUACAAACAAGAUGUAUCUCACAUACUCCGUUGGAAAUGAUGGCAUAAUACGAAUUUUUGCAGUAAUGUGUUGGCCUUUGCUUUUUUUUUUUUUUUAAGAAGAUUUGAUGUUAAGGCCCGCAUUCUAAUCAGAUCCGGGUGACCAUUCACAAAUCGGAGUUCGUUAAACCCUGGUGCAGGAAGUGAGUGUCUGGCUCCAGUGUUGCAAGUGCAUGCAGUAAUGAAGAUGGCUGUGCUGGGAUCGCUUACAGCAGAUGGCCCACAUAGAUAGCUGAGCCCUGACUUCACUCUGUUCCGACCACAAGAACAACGCAGCAUCCUCGGAGCCACAAGCUAAUACAUCGGCCCACGCCGAUGCCCACGGAGAGCCAGAGUGGCCGUUUCCAAGAGGAAUGGUCUUACUGCACAUUUCAGGCUGGCCUCAAAUUUGCUAUAAUCUUCCUGCCCACUGAGUGCUGGGAUUGCAGAAUUCCUUCACUUCCUUGUGAUGGUUCUGAUGAGUCUUCAAUGCACAGAGAAUGUGUGUAUCUGUAUGUGGGAAACAGACGCAGCCAGCCAUGUCAGAGAAAGCUUUAUCAGCAAGGUCCUCGAAGCCAGGGCAGCAUAAGCAUGUUCCUCAGUUCCCAUGUGUCAGUGGUGAGAGAGGCAUGGAAACAGAGGUAACACUUUGGAGAGAUCUCACGAAGAAAUUUUACACUGGCUGAAUCUAACACGAAGUAUUUGGCUACAGAUUUUAUAUCAUGUUGUUCUGUUCUCUGCCCUAAAAAUAAAUUAGCAGAUGUUCUGCAGAGCUUUUGUGCUUGGAAGAACAUUUUGAAUAAUGUAUGAUGAGCGUUCUGGAAAUUAAUCAUGACAAAAAACUAUUUUUAGCCUUUGUAAUGACCAGACUAGGAAAGCCAUUUCCGCACAAAGUAACCUGAGACUGUGUCAAUAAUUGUUAAGCAAGUUGACUUCCACUAGAAUCGUGUUGGAAUUUCUUGAAGCUGAAGGCAGUAACUGUUAACAUUCUAGCUCCAUCUCUCUCCAAAUUGAGUCAUUGGGAACCUGAUCAAUCUGCUUGGCUGAGCACCCUGCUGUCCCUCCUGUGGCAACCACUCAGCAUGUCCUUUGCACCCGUGUUCCAUGGCUCCAAAAAUGCAUCUUCUGUGGAACCUUUCAACACUUCGAUGGCUCGAACAGAACAGACUGCUUUGCAAAAUGCUUCUUGCCCAUUCUCCCCUUAAUCCUUCUCCUCUUUUUUUGCAUAAAAGUCUGAAUCAAUAAAACGAGUCAUUUGCACAGAGCACGUCCAACUUUUGUAUCCUUCAACACUGAAGUCUUAUUUCUGUGGGACCGCACAGAAACAUAAUCCGGCAGAUGGAGCAGAGCGUUGCGCGUUAAUGUGGUUGCAGCAUUGUAACAAGACGAGGAAAGACAAGGCUGUGCCUGGUGGCCACCGCUGCAACCC